GUGCUUUGGGGAGGAUGCACAAGUGGCAGGUCCGAUGACAGGUGCUCCAACACCUUGUCCCCGGCCCCCCCUUACCAAACAAACAUAAUAAAGCAAAUAGACAACUGUCCUGGUAAACCAGGCUCCAAAGAGUUAAAGAAACCAAAGACUAAAUUCUUGGACUUACAGAAUAGCAGAUAAGAAAAGAAAGAACUUGCUGAAAAGCUGAAACUAAGACUGUGCCCCGAAGAGUAAGAAACCAGUAACAGAAAUUCUUGAGUUUGCAGGAUAGCAGAUAAGAAAAGAAACAGCUUGCCGAAACACGGACACUCCCUGCACUUACGAGAUCAAGAAAAAAACUGGCUGAUGGCCGGGCCCGGUGCCUCAAGCCUGUAACCCCAGCACUUUGGGAGGCCAAGGAUGUACAGAAAGCAUGGUGCCGGCAUCUGCUCAGCUUCUGGUGAGGGCUUCAGGAAGCGUUUACUCAUAGCAGAAGAGGAAGGGGAG
rnacentral:lncRNA from 1 species